rnacentral:lncRNA from 1 species
UGAAAGUUAAAUAAAGGUUUUAAACAUAUUUCCUCAUUUGUCAUGUUGUGCAAGAAAAAUCAAAUCAAAAGAAAAAAAACAUGAAAGAAAAAAACAAAUGUGAAAAUAAUAUGCUGUAAUCCAUAUUUAGUCUCUAUAAUUCUCUCUUUGGAUGCAGGUGGCAUUUUCUAUCCCAAGUCUGCUGGAAUUGCCUUGAAUCACCACAAUGCAGAGAAGAGCCAAGUCCAUCAGAGUUGAUUAUCACAUAAUCUUGUUUCUGUGUCCAAUGUUCUCCUGUUUCUGCUCUUUUCAUCAGUUCAUGCAAGUCUCCUCAGGCCUCUCUGAAAUGAUCCUGAUGACUGUUUCUUACAGAACAAUAAUAUUUCAUAACACUUAUAUACCAUAUUUUAUUCAGCCAUUCUCCAAUUGAUGGGCAUUCACUCAGUUUCCAGUUCCUGGCCACUAAAAAAAGGAUCCCACAAACAUUUUCACACAUAUGGGUCCCUUUCCCUCUUUUAUGAUCUCUUAUGAUCACAAAACUUAGUAGACUGCCAUCCCCCAUUCUUCUAACAAAGUGACUUUCAAGUCUGACUAUGUCUGUCACUCAACCAUCCCUUAAGUUCUAGUGACUCACUGUUAUCACCAGGAUCAAACACAAAAUGUUCUGCUUGGCAUUUAAAACCCUUCACAAGCUGACUUUUUCCUUGCUUUACAGUCUUCUCAUUCCCGAACUUCUCCCCAUUCCCACUGUUUGUGCUUUUCUCUCUGAUAUUAUUCUGUAUAUCAUUUUGAUUAGAAUGUGAAUUUCUCCAGAAUAAGCACAUUUUUGCCUGCCUUUGCAUCCUUAGCAGUUACCAUAGUACCUGCAUAUAAUAGGUACUUAAAUAAAUGCUUGCUGACUAACUUAGAGGCAUCCUUAGAAUUCUGAAAAUUAUAGUCAUAGAUUGAAAACGAAGAAAAACCAUUAACAGUCAUUUAAUCCAGGUGCCUCAUUUUACAGAUUAGGAAACUGAGUCCUACUAAGGUUAAAUAAUUUAAUAACAGAUAAAUUAGAAAAAGAAAUAUUCUAUUGGCUUUGUGGAAAAUAAGUCUACCCUAAGACCACUAAUCUCUAUGCAUUUCCAAAAUUCUCAAUUUGACCAUAGAAGCUAGAAAUUGGUUCAUAAGUACCAAAAGGGUUAGCUAAUCAUGGUUCCCCUUACUUGUAAUGAAUGAGCAGAAGUUGUAAAAAUCAUGUUUCACAGCAAGAAUAGGUCCGAAAAGGAUACAAAGUGAUAGCAGAAGAAGGGAAUGGUUCCCAAGAAACUACAGACUACUCUCAGUGGUAGUUUCUCCACUUGCAACCCUACUUCUAGACCUUCAUUAUAAGAUAAACCAUCAUGACAAUUUCCCCUUAAGGUAGGUUAUACCUUAUAGAAUCUAUGCAUGGAAACCCCUGUUAUAAGAUCAGGCCUGAUGGUUUUGAACCCACUAUAACAUUUUCAGAUUUCUACUCUGAAUUCCACUAACACUCUACGUUAUGACUUGGAGAGACAACAAAAUUAGCUGGGAGUCAGUGUACCUGGGUCCUAGUGAUGGGAUUACGGAUAGCUAGGUAUGGCUGACAGGUAGAAAAUGGAGUCCUGAUGAAAUUGUUCCCUGUGGCAGGCAGAGAAAAGGCUCUGAUAGAGAUCAGUUAACUCCCUGGUCCCAUCCUCAGUGGAAGUCUUCCAGUCAGAAAUCCAAGUUAUAUCAAAUCUCUUAUGUCUCUCCUCUCAGACCCCACUUCUCCUCCUUAUACUUAACUAACCCUUCUAGGUGGCUAAAUCUCAAAGGCAUGCUCCAACCUCAUGACUUGUUGCCUUUCUCCUAGCUAAUUGCAAGUUACACUAGGUCUUUUUCAUCAUUCAUUUUUUGACAGCUUUUUAAUUUUCAAAAUACAUGCAAAAAUACUUUUCAACAUUUACCCUUGCAAAACCUUGUGUCCUAAACCUUUCUCUCCCCCUUCCCCCAUCUCCUAUUCCUUUAGACAUAAGUAAUUCCUUCUAAACAUAUUUCCACAUUUAUCACCCAUUAAUUAUUAAAAUACCUUUCCUUACCAUGUGCUCUCCCACCUCUAUUUACCAUUCCUGGUGUCUAUUGUAUCCCUUCAUUUUGUCUGUAACCUCUUGUCCUAAAUAUUUAAACCUGGCUUUUGCCAAAAAAAAAAAAAAAAAAAAAAAAUGGCCAUUGUGAAUUCUUCACAUGACUGAACCCCAACAUUUGGUGCCUACAAACCAUAUCAUUUGCUAUAUCUGUUACAUCACUGGUCCCUGUUAAAAACUAAGAAUAUCUUUGCAGAUGAUAUGAUGGGUUCUCUAAGUAC